UCUCGACAGCGUAAACGUUAAUUCAAAUUUGUAUAGAGUUGGAACGUUAGCGUACGUUUGCCGCUAGGGGCGCUGUUCCAACUGCAUACAAAUUUGAAUUAACGUUUACGCUAUCGA
rnacentral:pre_miRNA from 9 species